CCAAGAAGAAGAAGAACAACAACACACGCUUGGACCGAGAUCUUCAUGUGAAAGGGAGCUUCUUUUUCCACACGCGCUUCGCAUCUCUGAUCCUCUGCGUAACAUCACUAAAGUGUCCUGAUUCUUUACACCUCUUAUAAUGAAAUCAGAGUCCAGACGCCGCUCUUUAGGAAAAUCUCCACAGACUCCUGCUGCUACUGGCUCAAAGAUGUACCACUGCUCAGAUUGUGGGAAGAGUUUUACUAAAAGUCAUCAUCUCAAAGAUCACAAGCGGAUCCACACAGGAGAGAAGCCAUAUCACUGCUCACAGUGUGGAAAAAAUUUUAGUUGUGGAAGUUCUCUCAAACAACACAAUCGCAUUCACACAGGAGAGAAGCCGUAUCACUGCUCACAGUGUGGGAAGAGUUUUACUUGUCGGAGUACUCUCAAAAACCAUGAACGCAUUCACACAGGAGAGAAGCCGUAUCACUGCUCACAAUGUGGGAAGAGUUUUACUUGUCGGAGUACUCUCCAACAGCACAAGGGUAUUCACACAGGGGAAAAGCCGUAUCACUGCUCACAGUGUGGGAAGAGUUUUACUUACCAGCGUCGUCUCAAACAACACAAUCGCGUUCACACAGGAGAGAAGCCGUAUUAUUGCUCACAGUGUGGGAAGAGCAUCCGUUUAACUACAGCGAACUACAGUGUAUGGCCAAAUGUAUGGGGAUGCUUGACCACUACACCCAUAUACAGUAUCUCACAAAACACACCCUCUUGGGCAUGGAGUUCACCAGAGCUUCACAGGUUGCCACUGGAGUCCUCUUCCACUCCUCCAUGAUGACAACACAGAGAUGGUGGAUGUUCGAGACCUUGAAUGCCGUAUUGAAAAUUUUAUGCAUCCUUACAAAGACGUCUGAACCUAGAGAGACCUGCGCUCUGAGGAAAAAGGACUCGCACGGGAAUUAACACUCAAACUCUCUCUCACAGAAUUAGCCGUGUCACCUGAGAGAACACAUCAUGCUGAGUGGAGACUGGAAGAUCCUCACUACAUUGUUUCCUUUUUCCUCUCCUCACACAGUUCUCUUUCUCUGUAUUGAGAUCACCUUAAACACACCCAAGGUCUAUAUGCAUUACAUAACAUGUUUUAAUGUGAAUAAGAUGUUGACUAUACAGUUUUGCUGUAUUAUACAAAAGGUCUCGGUGCAUCUGGAAAAUAUGUUCUCAUUCCCUCAACAGCAGCUCAAAUAAAAAUAUUGCAUGCCGUUAAAGGCAUACCCUCCCAGGGUCCCUCUCUUGAAUUAGCUCCUGUAUGUAAAUAAGGUACAUCCUUCCACAGACAUCAAAUUAUAAUAACAAACAACACCAUUUGGUGGACCAACACAGCAUCUGGGUAUUUAGGGGAGGGCUGACCAAAGAUUCUGGGAAUCUGUAGACAGAUCUCACACAUGAUCACUGUGUGUAGUUUUCUCUACCAGGUAUAUAAGUUGAUGACUUUCUUUUGUUUUGAAUUUGAUUGUAAUGUUGAAUGUAAUUCUUUCUUCUUCUUCUUCUUCUUCUUAUUAUUAUUAUUAUUAUUAUUAUUAUUAUUAUUAAUAGCAGUACUGGAUUUGGAUGUGUUCAUACCUGGUUAAAUAAAUUCUUAGACUUGAUUAUAUUCUGACUUAUUCUGAAAUAUUGUCUCUAGUAGAUUACAUUAAGUCCUUGUUACCGCAAAUCUGCGACCAAGUUAGUACAGGCUAAAAUCCAGGUUCAAGUGGAGCAUUGGGGCACGCCAACUGAGAUUUUAGAGUCCACGCUAACAACUUGGCAUUAAGUUAAGUGUACUUAGAGUAUACAGACUCGAUAGGAAAAACCCGUUUAGGACAACAUCAAGUUGAUGGAUCAAGUCUAAAUAGGGUGAAGUCUAAACCUCUGAUUAUUGUAAUUUCUCUAGUUAACAUGUACAUAGGAAACUAUGGCAUGAUUAUAUACAGCUAAUUUUACUCAGAUGUUAUUGGUCUAUCUCUGUAGAUUUUAGUGGUCUUGACCUCUGACAAUGCAGCUCAGACAGGAUUGGAGUAAUGUGAGCUGAGCACUUGGUAUGUGUAAGAAGUCUAGAGGCUGAAUUUUGAAUAUAUUGCAACCUAGCAAUGGAAUUAGCACGUAAACCAAUAAGGAGAGCAUUGCAAUAGUCAAGACUAGGGAUGCACCGAAUGUUCGACGGCCGAACAUAGCAAAAAAAAGACAUUUUCAGUGUUCUGCCGAAUAAAUGAAAAGGCCGAAUAAAUUUGACGGAGCAAUGACGUGUUUGCUGACGCGCCAAAUAGCCUCGCAACCAGAGUGAGAUACGCGAAUUUCACGACCACCACUUCCAGCAGCGAGCUCCGAGCGAUGAGGGGGCGAGCGCAUGCACGAACUACGUGCACGAGCGCAUGCUCUUCGGAUGUUGACAACCAUGACAUUGUUUACUGUGGACACGUGCGUUUAAUUGUUUCUGUUCGGGAGUAUUCUGUCACGUCACGAGACGUAAGGGAGUAGAGUACGGAAGCAGGUAAAGACGUAUUUAUUUAAGGGAACAUAACAUUAACACGUAUCUAACUAUACUAUACCUACUAUAAUACUCGGCGAGGUGUACAGGGACGCGAGCGGUAUAUAUCCCCAAUAUAACCAGCCCUAUAGAACCCAAUAGAACCAUUUUCUGCACUCUUGUCAAUGCACUUUUUAAUGCACUUUUUUGUUGUAGGCUACAGAGUGUUCCAUUCUUUCAGCAGUCAGUUAUAAGCCUAACAUCGGCUAUUCAAGGGGCUCAAAGAUGACCACAUCAAAAUAUUUUUAUUUUACUCAUUUAUUUAUUUAAAGUUAUAUUGUGCCUUGUUGGUAGCCUAUGUCUGCUGGAAUGAAGAAAAAUGUUCAGUGCUAAAUAAAUAUUUUGAAAUUGUAGUUUUUGUAAUUGAUUUUUUUCUUUGAAAAGCAAGAGAAAAUAGUAAAAAGCACAUUUUGACUUAUUUAAUUUAUGCAAUGGUGAGAAAAACAGUAAAAUAAAUGGGAAAAAACGCGGAAAAACGUGUUCGGUCUUUGGCCUUUGGCCAAGUUUUUCAAUAUAUUCGGCUUCGGCCAAGAAUUUUCAUUUCAGUGCAUCCCUAAUCAAGACGUGAGGAUAUACAUGCAUGUGACACCAUCACAAACAGUGAACUGUCCUUUCAUCUAAGUCUUCUCUUAUAGACUUUCUAUUUGCACUUUUGGGGCUUAAUAAACUAAUUUAAUAAUAUUGUACUUAGUAUACAACAGUAUUCAUCCACUCCUGUAACACAGAAGGAUAAUUUACUGUCACAUUUUUACAGUUUACAUCUAAAACAAAGGUAAACCUUACAACCCGCUAUCUUGGGACGGGAAGUUUUUUGUGCUGUCAUUUUGUGUGCAGGUCCGAACACCCUCCCAGACUUUCCAGCCUGCAAUAGCCUGCCUUGCUCCUGCCUCCAGAAUGACCUCACUGAUUGGCGGCCAUACUUAAAGAGUAAGAUGGAGUGAGAAUGUGUGGGAUGUUGGAGGUGUUUGUGUGAUUUGUUGUUUGGAGAUUGCUUGGUUUGUGUUGCUUGCCCUUGUGGCCAAUACUGUAUUUUGACUGCUGUUCUGGUUUUGACUUUUGCCUGGUUUUCGAAUUUGAGUUUGAUUAUCCCUAUAUUGUUAUUGAGUAUUCUCUUCACAUGUGUGUGUGUAUAAUUAU